CCAUGCACUACAUGUUUUCACUUCUACUUCUAGAUCGGGGUGGCCAACCUGAGCCUGAGAAGGAGCCAGAAUAUACCAAUAUACAUUGUCAAAGAGCCAGAGUAAUAUGUCAGCAGCCCCCAAUCAGCUCCUCCC